rnacentral:rRNA from 1 species
UACGGGGGGGGCAAGCGUUGUUCGGAAUUAUUGGGCGUAAAGGGCGCGUAGGCGGCAUGGCAAGUGGAUGGUGAAAUCCCUCGGCUUAACCGAGGAACUGCCGUCCAAACUGCUUCGCUUGAGACCGGGAGAGGUGAGUGGAAUUCCCAGUGUAGCGGUGAAAUGCGUAGAUAUUGGGAGGAACACCAGUGGCGAAGGCGGUUGCCUGGGGCUUUGCUGACGCUGAUGCGCGAAAACGUGGGGGAGCGAUCCGG